CCUACGGGAGGCAGUAGUGAGGAAUAUUGGUCAAUGGGCGCGAGCCUGAACCAGCCAAGUAGCGUGAAGGAUGACUGCCCUACGGGUUGUAAACUUCUUUUAUAAAGGAAUAAAGUGAGGCACGUGUGCCUUUUUGUAUGUACCUUAUGAAUAAGGAUCGGCUAACUCCGUGCCAGCAGCCGCGGUAAUACGGAGGAUCCGAGCGUUAUCCGGAUUUAUUGGGUUUAAAGGGUGCGUAGGCGGCCUUUUAAUUUAGAUGUGAAAGUCUGUGGCUCAACCAUAGAAUUGCCGUUGAAACUGGGGGGCUUGAGUAUGUUUGAGGCAGGCGGAAUGCGUGGUGUAGCGGUGAAAUGCUUAGAUAUCACGCAGAACCCCGAUUGCGAAGGCAGCCUGCCAGGCCAUGACUGACGCUGAUGCACGAAAGCGUGGGGAUCAAACAGGAUUAGAUACCCCAGUAGUC
rnacentral:rRNA from 1 species